GGCUGUAGCUCAGUGGUAGAGCGCUUGCCUAGCAUGUGUGAGGCACUGGGUUCAAUCCUCAGCGCCA
rnacentral:tRNA from 1 species